GGAGGGUGCAAGCGUUAAUCGGAAUUACUGGGCGUAAAGCGUGCGCAGGCGGUUUGUUAAGUCUGCUGUGAAAUCCCCGAGCUCAACUUGGGAAUUGCAGUGGAUACUGGCAGGCUGGAGUAUGGUAGAGGAAGGUGGAAUUCCCGGUGUAGCAGUGAAAUGCGUAGAGAUCGGGAGGAACACCAGUGGCGAAGGCGGCCUUCUGGACCAAUACUGACGCUCAUGCACGAAAGCGUGGGGAGCAAACAGG
rnacentral:rRNA from 1 species